AGGCAUACGUGUCGCUUCACUCCUAUGGGCAAACAUUCCUGUAUCCUUGGAGCUACUCCAGAGCCGCCAACAGCUCCAAAACUAGAGACCUGGUAAAUUUAGCGGACGGUAUGGCGAGGAAGGUCGAAGCUGCCGGUGGGACGCGGUACAAUAUUAGCGGCAGCGGAGUUUCAAUUCUCGUCGGAGGGGCGUCUGACGACUGGGUGGCGAGCCAGGGCGUGCCGUACGUGUACACCAUGGAGCUGCGCGACAAGGGCGAAACCGUCUUCCACCUUCCCGAGCAUCUCAUCGUCCCGACGG